GCGCAGCUCCCUAAGCGGUUGUCACCGCUGGAGACGGUUGGGAGAACCGUUGUGGCGAGCGCUACACGAGGCAAACGACUUCUCCCUUCUUUGAACUGGACCCCGCGAGCACCAGAGUCGGCGUAACUAUCGCCUGACAGGGUAUCUGAAGUAAAAGGGGCAUUUAAAUCAAACGGUAUUGAGAUGGAUUGGGUUAUGAAACAUAAUGGUCCAAAUGACGCUAGUGAUGGGACAGUACGACUUCGUGGACUACCAUUUGGUUGCAGCAAAGAGGAAAUAGUUCAGUUCUUUCAAGGUAUAUUGAGAUCUUCAGAAGUAGCAGGAGUGAAAUCAAAGGAUUUUAUGAUCCACCAAGAAGAUUGCUGGGACAGCGACCGGGACCAUAUGAUAGACCAAUAGGAGGAAGAGGGGGUUAUUAUGGAGCUGGGCGUGGAAGUUAUGGAGGUUUUGAUGACUAUGGUGGCUAUAAUAAUUACGGCUAUGGGAAUGAUGGCUUUGAUGACAGAAUGAGAGAUGGAAGAGGUAUGGGAGGACAUGGCUAUGGUGGAGCUGGUGAUGCAAGUUCAGGUUUUCAUGGUGGUCAUUUCGUACAUAUGAGAGGGUUGCCUUUUCGUGCAACUGAAAAUGACAUUGCUAAUUUCUUCUCACCACUAAAUCCAAUACGAGUUCAUAUUGAUAUUGGAGCUGAUGGCAGAGCCACAGGAGAAGCAGAUGUAGAGUUUGUGACACAUGAAGAUGCAGUAGCUGCCAUG
rnacentral:lncRNA from 1 species